AUGGGUGUGCUGGAAUUGGUAGACAGGUUCCGUUUAGGCCGGAAUGGUGGUAAAGACCAUGCAAGUUCAAGUCUUGUUGCCCAUA
rnacentral:tRNA from 1 species